AAGAUGCAGUGCGUCAUAGCGGCAUUUA
rnacentral:sRNA from 1 species